AACGAACGCUGGCGGCAUGCCUAACACAUGCAAGUCGAACGAGACCUUCGGGUCUAGUGGCGCACGGGUGCGUAACGCGUGGGAACCUGCCCUUAGGUUCGGAAUAACUCCCCGAAAGGGGUGCUAAUACCGGAUAAUGUCUUCGGACCAAAGAUUUAUCGCCUUUGGAUGGGCCCGCGUUGGAUUAGCUAGUUGGUAGGGUAAAAGCCUACCAAGGCGACGAUCCAUAGCUGGUCUGAGAGGAUGCUCAGCCACACUGGGACUGAGACACGGCCCAGACUCCUACGGGAGGCAGCAGUGGGGAAUAUUGGGCAAUGGGCGAAAGCCUGAUCCAGCAAUGCCGCGUGAGUGAUGAAGGCCUUAGGGUUGUAAAGCUCUUUUACCCGGGAUGAUAAUGACAGUACCGGGAGAAUAAGCUCCGGCUAACUCCGUG
rnacentral:rRNA from 1 species